GACGAACGCUGGCGGCGUGCUUAACACAUGCAAGUCGAACGGAAAGGCCUCUUUCGGGGGGUACUCGAGUGGCGAACGGGUGAGUAACACGUGAGUGACCUGCCCUUGACUUUGGGAUAACUUCAGGAAACUGGGGCUAAUACCGGAUAGGAGCUCCUGCUGCAUGGUGGGGGUUGGAAAGUUUCGGCGGUUGGGGAUGGACUCGCGGCUUAUCAGCUUGUUGGUGGGGUAGUGGCUUACCAAGGCUCUGACGGGUAGCCGGCCUGAGAGGGUGACCGGCCACAUUGGGACUGAGAUACGGCCCAGACUCCUACGGGAGGCAGCAGUGGGGAAUAUUGCACAAUGGGUGGAAGCCUGAUGCAGCAACGCCGUGUGCGGGAUGACGGCCUUCGGGUUGUAAACCGCUUUCGCUCAUGACGAAGCUUUGUGUGACGGUAGUGGGUAAAGAAGCACCGGCUAACUACGUG
rnacentral:rRNA from 1 species